CAUGUUUUUAGCAUUUAAGAGACCGACAAGCUAGGCAUUUAAGACAGUGGUUCUCAGAAUCGGUUCUGGGGGCUCCUUGCGUAUAUUGGCUUUUCUCCAUUGGUUUUGAUGAUUUACAAGAAAAAAAUAAUAGCCUAAUAAUAAUUAGAAAUUCAACGUAGGCUACAUUAUUUUUCUUCAUGCACCAGGUGGAAAACUUGCCGUACAAAGUGCGUUGUCAUAUUUACACGCCUGCAGAUCAGUUAUUAAAAUACUUGGUAGAUUUGUUCAUCACCGCUGAGUGUUAAUUUUUGUUCGGUAGAAAGUGAUUUGCGAACGAUCGGUCACCUAGCGUCACCCAGCAAGUGAACACCACAAACGGCGAUGGAGUAGCUAGUAGUAGCAGGCUCAUUAUCUGACUGGCGAAAACCUACGACGAUAACUUGCUCGGUUAACAGAUCUACCAGACAGUUAUACGAAAAUUUGCCUAGUCAAAUCACCAGUAGCCUACACAUCUCCGAUUGAUUGACCAUCAGUGUAGUCAAUGUUCUUCCCCUGUGGUUCAUAUUGCUAACGCGUGAGCUAACCACGGACAGCCUACCUAGCUCACUGGCAAGCUGAUAUGCUAGCUAAGCAUAUUCGUUUUGCUGAGAAACAUAAAUUGAAGAUAACUGAACAUAGCCUAAUUGUAUUUUUAAUGUCAUACAUAACGUGAUUACAUGACACAGUACAGUCACGGAUGGAAACUAAACUCCGUAAACAUCUGAUAAUAUAUUUUAAAACAUAACGGCAGACAGUCAGCUAGCCUCGUUCAGGUUGAGGGGCUUUUCCGCACCGGACUGUCAAUCAAAUUGUAAAAAUCACAAGACCGCUUAACUCUAUGGUUUUGGCUCCAAAUCGAGAAAAUGGCCGCGCCCGCCAUUGAGCUUCAAAACGUGUUUUAGAGACCCACGGAGAGUCAAUGGGUGACGUCACAGUAGCUGUGUCCAUAUUUUUUACAGUCUCUGAUCUUAACCCAAUCUCUCCUGGUCAACACACUUUCCCCUUACGUCACAUCCUUACUAGGGUAGUCUUCCAACUACUCUCGGGAAAGUAAUACAGUGCCUCCUAGUGGUCAGAAUACACUCAACCUGUAACAUCUAUUAUUGAACACAACAAAUUGCAUGGUAUGAAACGGGAAUGAACAUUUUUUCUUGAUAAAAUCAUUGUUUUCAUAGAACUUACGACCAGAGAUGUUUGCUUAACAACGGUGCGACUAGAACUACAAACCAGAGUGUCUGCAUAAGGACGGUCCAAUUAGAACUACGAAGCAGAGUUUUGCUUGACAACGGUAAGAUAAUAUGCCCAAACGCCCGCAGAAGAACAUUUCACGUCCAGCUGAUUAAAUCUAUAAAAAUCAAUAAAUAUAAAAGCAAACUCAUUGUCAUUGUUGGUACACGGCAUGAAAUUGAUGUGAAAUUACAGGGAAAUUCCUACAGUAAUCUGCUGUUUUAUUGAUAUACGGCACAUUGCUUAAGACAGAACAGCAUUGUGGGCGUUUUGCUCUUAACUGCAUAACACCGUUUGAAUUUUCAGUAAUUAACUGGAAAUUGCUAUGGAUAUUGGGAAGCCGUUGGUUAGUAGUGGCGACAGAGAAUUUGCUAACAAAGCAAUGCCAAGUUUCGAGUGUCACACCUAAUAGGCUACGCGAAUUUAAAAGCAACCCUGUACUUUGAGUAUUUUUUGUUGCAGCUGGCUAGAGUGUCGCCGGAUUGUGCAGGUAGGCUACGUGCGUUUCGAAUUCAUCAAACUAGUUAGUAUCAUAACGGCCAAUCAUUCGCCAGCGAUAGCUUAGUAUGAAAGCAUGUUUACAUGUCAGUAUUGUGGUCACCAAUGCUUAACGAAGUAUGCGUUUGUUAGGCAUAUGAAAGUACAUGCGAGUCUUCCAACCGCGUUGUUUAAAUGCGCCUUUUUUGAUUGCUCCCGUUCGUUCAGAAACAUGACGCAGUUGGAAUGUCAUGUAUAUCGAGAGCAUAAAGAUAAGAGGAGAGCACAGGUAACUGCAAUCGAGUGUGUAUCUUGUCAUGUAGAAUUUUGCAAUGUUAGAUGCAAUGAUUUAUCCAGUUUAAACUCUCAUUUGAAAUCUCAUAUCGGAGAGGGCAGGGCCGUUUCUUGUCCAUUUCGUCAGUGUGGGAGAACGUUUUCAGUCGUCUCUUCCUUUAUUUCUAAUUUUUCCACAGUACACAAGUCUUGUACAGUAUCCAGUCUUCUGGGCCAUGUAACAGUAGGAACAGAGACGAGACUAACGGCAACCAAUGAACAAGUUGAGGAUGUUUCAGUGUUGGAGAGGGAUUUGACUGACGACGUAACGUAAGUGAUGAUAACGAGGGAGACCAAGCAGCGGUGCUGCCAGAGAGAGCAGAUGAAUCCCUUUUCUUGAACAAUUUGGCUUUCUUUUAUUUAAAGUUGCAGGCAAAACUUUUACUGCCAGCAUCAGUCAUACAGUCUAUUAUUGAGGAUUUUCAAGCAGUGCAUGAUAUCAGUCAGUCUCAUUUACUUCAUAAGUUGGACGAAAAGCUGGUAUCAUUGGAUAUCUCUGACCGUGAGAGAGAGAGGUUCUUAAAUCCGAGGAUUUGUUUCGGGCAUGCAACACUGGUACCUUGAAAACUGAUCAAAGACAAAAAACGGUUUUUAAAAAUCAGUUUAGAUACAUUGAGCCAGUCCCACCUUAUCUUGGAAAGAAUGAUAUGGGAUCACAGAGUGGCUUUAGUGAAAACUUCAGUAAAGGCACCCAUUUCUGCAGAUUAUGUACUAGAGCCCGACCGAUAUAUCUAUAAUAUAUUAAUAUAUAUUAUAUAAUAAACAAAAAAAAAACGAUGAUUAUUUAUCUGUACUUGUCUGCUUGAACGUUGUAAUUGCUAUUUACUACAAUUAUCCAGUAGAGGGAGCUCUAAUACAAGUGUGAACUGCAGCAGCUGACGCGCUACUUCUCUAAUAAGACGUUUGUUACUCGUGCCUCAUCCAAUAUUCUCCACUGCAAGACUUGUCUGCACAGAUUCGGUUGCGGCAAUAAAGGU